AUUGAACGCUGGCGGAAUGCUUUACACAUGCAAGUCGAGCGGCAGCGCGGGGCAACCUGGCGGCGAGCGGCGAACGGGUGAGUAAUACAUCGGAACGUACCCAGUUGUGGGGGAUAGCCCGGCGAAAGCCGGAUUAAUACCGCAUACGACCUGAGGGUGAAAGGGGGGGAUCGCAAGACCUCUCGCAGUUGGAGCGGCCGAUGGCGGAUUAGCUAGUUGGUGAGGUAAAGGCUCACCAAGGCGACGAUCCGUAGCUGGUCUGAGAGGACGACCAGCCACACUGGAACUGAGACACGGUCCAGACUCCUACGGGAGGCAGCAGUGGGGAAUUUUGGACAAUGGGGGCAACCCUGAUCCAGCCAUUCCGCGUGAGUGAAGAAGGCCUUCGGGUUGUAAAGCUCUUUCGGUCGGGGAAGGAAAUUAGUCACGGGUUAAUAACCCUCGUGUAGAUGACGGUACCCGAAUAA
rnacentral:rRNA from 1 species